UACGUAGGGUGCAAGCGUUGUCCGGAAUUAUUGGGCGUAAAGAGCUCGUAGGCGGUCUGUCGCGUCGGUUGUGAAAACUCGGGGCUCAACUCCGAGCUUGCAGUCGAUACGGGCAGACUAGAGUUCGGUAGGGGAGACUGGAAUUCCUGGUGUAGCGGUGAAAUGCGCAGAUAUCAGGAGGAACACCGGUGGCGAAGGCGGGUCUCUGGGCCGAAACUGACGCUGAGGAGCGAAAGCAUGGGGAGCAAACAGG
rnacentral:rRNA from 1 species